UCUCCGUUGGUGAACCAGCGGAGGGAUCAUUACCGAGUUUUUCUACUCUCAAACCCCUGUGAACUUAUACCUUUACUGUUGCUUCGGCGGGUUAACGCCCCGGAAGGCCCAAAAAGCCGCCGGAACCAGGCGCCCGCCGGGGGACCCAAACUCUUGUAUUUCUUACCUUGCAUGUCUGAGUGGAAUCAUAAACAAAUGAAUCAAAACUUUCAACAACGGAUCUCUUGGUUCUG
rnacentral:misc_RNA from 1 species